rnacentral:SRP_RNA from 1 species
ACCGGGUUUGGUAACUCAAGCUUGUGACCCAAGUGGGGGUAUUAAAGAGACUGAAUAUUGGUUUGACCCCGGAGGCUGGGCCCUUAAAGGAAUGUUUGCUGGCCUGCCCGAUUCCAAGAAGAGAGUUGAAUCAUGUGCUUUGGGCUAAGGCCUGAAGUUCGUGAUUCCUAGAGUAGAGGGGACAGCGUGAGGCUGGUUUCACAGAGCAACGAAUAAACCUCUCCCUUUCUUCAGUGGAAGGAUAACAGGCUGGUUACUUGAGACCCAACGACGCCAAAUGGGUCACUAUCAAACUAGACAGUCUCUCUU